UGCCUGUGUGUCAUUUCCUGUCACUUACCUUUACCAGAGAUACUCUAUAUAAUGAUGAGAAGGUCUUGUCUCCGGCUAAAAAAUGGGUAUUGUUGUCCACAAACUCGGAACGGCAAGCUGUCAAGCUCCGCCUAUUUCUCUUUUUGGAAUGGUGGAUACAUACCUUUAUUUCAAUACUUUCUUUGGAUAUUAGAUAAGGGGUGUUGAAUAUUCGAUGAGGGGUGUUGUCAGCAACUGCCUGAAUUCUAUGGUGAAGGUAUUUCAAAUUCAUUGAGAAGUGAGAACCAACACCAACUUCUUGGAAAGAUCCAGCACCAGUCCAAACACCAAUCUAGAUCCCGGUUUCUAGCACCAGUCCUAGCACCAGGCCACCAGAUGAGCUGCGGAGGAGGAACCAAAUCUUCACCCAGAGCGAGCAGGCCACAGGGGAGUACUAUCAUUGAAUUUUGGGACUAGGGCUCCCUUGUGUCUCGGUUUGCUCCUCAGGUUGUCCUUCCUCCCCUACACAGAUCACCUGCAGCAGCCCCAGUUUCCGGUUCCUGGUUCCCGGUUCCCGGUUCCCCGUUCAUGUUUUCCCAGUCCCCAGUCCCAGCAAAAGACCCAGCACCAACCCCUGGUCUCCAGUCCUGGGCCCAGAUUCACAAAACCUUCUUAAAAAGAAGGAUCGGACCCUUUUUUUUUCCAAUUUUCUCAAAAAAUGACAUACAGGCAGUUAGAUUUGGGUAUCUCAGGACCUGAGGCAAAGAUAUGGAUAUUCUUGAAAUCAUUUGAAAGGGAACACUUUGAAAUUUGUGGAAAUGUGAAAUGAAUUCAGGAAAAUGAAACACAUUAGAUCUGGUAAAAGAUAAUACAAACAAAUUAGCAUGCACAUUUAUUUUAGCACAUUCACUAAAUUGUUUGAUAACAAUUAGCAAGCUAGUUUGUUACCACAUGUUCAUAUAAAUCAGAUUUGAUCGUUCAGACACAAGUCUGGCCAUGAAUCAGAUUUGUAUCCGACUUCAAACCACCUAUGAAGGUGAUUUGAAAUGUGGUUUGAAAUAUUCGAUUCCAUGUGCUUUUUGGCUGUAAAGACUUCAGAAAAAAGGACAUACUUGAAUCGGAUAUGCAAAUAAACAGGAUUUGAGUCCCGUCAAACUGCCAAUGUGAACAUGGCUGUAAUAUUUUGUACAUCAGUGUAAGGUGUAGCACCUUAAUGCAUCUCAACUACAUGUUUAACAUAGGCUUUUAGUAAAGUCACAUAGUUCUGUAAGUCUCUUUAAAGCAUAAAAUAUGUCAAUGUUCAACUUUAACAUGUGAUAACUAUGCAACACAACAGAUGAACAGCAAUUACAUUUACACUCAUGGGUGGCUAAAAAGACGAGAACUAGCUGAAUGCCACGCACCUUCUAAACUACUCCUCCAGGACGUCAGGUAGCCUAACGGUUAAGAGUGUUGGGCCAGUAACCAAAAGGUCACUGGUUCAAAUCACUGAGCUGACUAGGUGAAAAAUCUGCCGAUGUGCCCUUGAGCAAGACACUUAACCCUAAUGUCUCGUGUAAGUUUUCUACUAAAUGACUGGGUCAUAUCUCAAUAACCCAACACCAAUAAUCCAGCAUCAAUAACACAACCAGACUAAGUGACCCGCCACCAGCAGUUGAGUCAGCCAAAUAACCCAUAUGCAGUGUGUGUGUGUGUGUGCAGAUAUGAGUUCCCCAGGGGGUGUUUAAAUGCCCAUGGCAGCAUAAAGCAGAGACUAUGAGUGGAGCGAGUGGGUGGAGGGUUUAAAUAUUUAUACCAGGCUUAGUGUACAGUCAGACUCACUGGGGCUCCAUAGGGAACAGACUUCUAGGGGGCAUCCAGGCUUGAUACAAGGCCGAUGUGUGUGCGUGCAAGCCUGUGUGACAGAGCAGGCAUGAGUGUGUGUUUCUCAAAUUCUCACAUUGAUAUUCCAUUCAGUCGGGCACAGUAGGUCACUCUGUUAUUAUUAGAGCUGGUAAUAAAAGCUGAAGAGUUGUCGCCCUCCUUGGACCAAUUCUGAGAACAGGGGUGAUACAUUCUUGUGAGAUGUAGGAGUGAGAGUUCUGCAAUGACGAAGGUAGGUGGAGAGUUUGGUGUCACGUAAAAUAUUGUUCAAUGUGUUACGUGACGUCAAUGUGACGACAUUCCCAAACAAUCUGACAUUAGCCUGUGUGUUUGACUCCUGAUGUCUUUGUGUGUUUAUUAACAUAGUACUGUAACGUCUCUUAGCAUGAGGCAAGUAAAUAGAAGUCUCUUUAAAUACACUAAACAGUCUUGAGAUCCCAUAUGUGAAACACAUGUUACAGUGGCCCCAAGCAUUGAGUACACACACACACAGACAUGCCCGCCUUGAAAACAUAUAGCUACGCUAUCAGAUAAUCUCUGUCACUUCCUGUUGUUGUUGAUCUAGGUCAAAGGGCAGUACACAAAGAGCAAGCACAUCACUGGGCUGGAUUAUUUUCUCUGCUUUAAUGACAUAAAUGUGCAUUAAAUACUUAGUUCAUAGAGUCAUAUUUUUCUUGAAUAAAGAAAUAUAGUUACGGUUUAUAUGUUUAGGGACUUUUCUGACAAUUUCUGUACUGGGGUCUUCUUUUACAUACUCCGUGGAGAACCUGUAGAAGGGCCCAGAGUUGAUCCUGGUCAGGUCACAUUUUCAGAAAAAACGCCUGGCCCUAAUCGUAGAUCAUACAGCCUAUUAAUAGUCUGUAGAACGAGGUGAGAGGUACUCAAAUGUCUCAGCUCUUUCCACAGCCCUGUGUCUCCACAGUGUGAAGUCAUUCCCUCUUGUGCGUAAGCAGGUGAGGAAGAUAUCAUUCUGUUACAGUGCCUUCAGAAAGUAUUUACACCUCUCAACAUAUUGUUGUGUUGCAGACGGAAUUUGAAAUUGAUUAAAUUAUGAUUUUGUGUCACUGACGUACACACAAUAUCCCAUAAUGUCAAAGUGGAAUUAAGUUUUUAGAAAUGGUUACAAAUUAAUAAAAAAUUAAAAGCUAAAAUGUCUUUGAGUCAAUAAGUAUUCAACCCCUUUGUUAUGGCAAGCAUAAGUAAGUUCAGGAGUAAAAAUGUGCUUACCAAGUUGCAUAAUAAGUUGAAUGUACUCCCUCUGUGUGCAAUAAUAGUGUUAUUCAUUAUUUUUGAAUGCUUACCUCAUCUCUGUACCCCACACAUACAAUUAUCUGUAAGGUCCCUCAGUCGAGGAGUGAAUUUCAAACAAAGACUGAACCACAAAGACAAGGGAGGUUUUCCAAUGCCUCGCAAAGAAGGGAGCCUAUUGGUGUAUGGCUAAAAAAAAAGCAAGAAAAAAGCAUUUAAUAUUAAUUUGAGCAUGGUGACGUUAUUAAUUAUACUUUGCAUGGUGUAUCAAUACACCCAGUCACUACAUGUCACACCCUGACCUUAGAGAGCCUUUUUAUGUCUCUAUUUUGUUUGGUCAGUGUGUGAUUUGGGGUGGGCAUUCUAUGUUUUUGUUUUCUAUGUUUUGACCGGGUAUGGUUCUCAUUCAGGGACAGCUGUCUAUUGUUGUCUCUGAUUGGGAACCAUACUUAGGUAGCCCUUUUCCCUACUUUCUUUGUGGGAAGUUAUCUUUGUUAGUGGCACUUUGCCCUUAAGCUUCACGGUCGUUUUUGUAUUGUUUAUUGUUUUUGUCUGUGUCAUCCAUAAUAAAAAGGGAAUAUGUACGCUCA